AUUGCUGUGCAAUUUUACAACACAAUAUGGAUAAUGUGGCUGAAGCAGUGACUUAAAAUCGAAUGACGAACGUUUUGCAAAAAAUUACAUCGAUCAGGCGGGCAAAAAUGAGCGGGAUAGGGAUGUACAAUGCCGCAGAUAGUAUCGAUAAGGUCUUGUCGAUAUGUAGGAUCAUUAAUGAUCGAGCUGCCAACCUACUUGUAUUUCAGUAGCCCUGGUGCCCAGCCCAUAUAGCCCAAUCGACAUCAUUGGGCGGCUGCUCUUCUGGACCUGCUCCUACUCCAACAUCAUUACCGUGACCAUUCGCACAAUUGUAUUCCUAAAACGUUGCCUCUUUUAGCAUCCUGGGUGAAUCCGUAGGCGUCAACGAUACCGGGGACUCGGAAAAACAUCACCCCAUUGCCACCUUGGGGAGAUUUAUGUACUGGCUGGAGGACAAGACCGGAGUGGAACGGAUCACUGUCAACGGUGUUGUUCCGUGUAGCUGCAUCGUCUGUCGCAGUUCACCGACAUCCGGGCCGUGUGGACACCGGAUGCGAAAGUGCUGCGCAAUCACACGUGUCUUCAAAGUCGCCCAAAUUGUUUCCAAAACUGCAUAUCCAGAGGGGUGUGACAUGCAGUACUUACGACGUCUGCUCGUGCCCCAAGCAUCUGAUGCUACUGGAGGACAAGCAGAACUACGGCGUGUAUCCGGGCAGAUAAUUUGAAGUGGCCGGAGUAGUGACAUGAGCAACGACAAGCAGAACUACGGCGUGUAUCAGGCCAGAUAAUUUUAAGUGUCGGGAGUAGUGACAUGAGCAACGACUGUAUAUCCGCCUUCUGACUGCCCGGAGGAUCAGUUCUGCUGACAGUCAGCCGAGGGCAGCGACAAGGUACCACCUGCAACAAAUGUGAUAAUAUCCAGUAUGAGGCCGACUGCUGCAAGCGCCCAAGAGACUUUCAGUGUCCCAUCAACAAGGCGGCGCAUGGCCCUGCAAACCGAGGCAAUGAAUCGAGCUCUAAUGGCUCCAUCGAAGAAAUUAAAUAAGGCAGCAUCUUUAUAACGGCACUUCACAGAAAACCAGGGCUGGGCUAGUCGCGCUAUCAUCUUUACAUUAUAACGGCACUUUACCGAAAACCAGGGCUGGGCUUGUCGGGCUAUAUCGAUAUACAAUGGUAUAUUUAGUCAAUUUCAUCAAGCUAUUAAAUUUCAUUUUCAAAGGUAUAUAGAAAUCCAAUAAAAGCAAGUGGUUACAAUAAGCCAGUUAAGUAGAAAAUUGAUUCAUUAAUUGACUAAAACUAUAAGCAUGGUUGAAAGUUCUAUACAGCUAGUAAUAUUCGAAGGAAUAUCAAUAUUGUUCAGCCACAGACAUGUAUUUAAUGAAUAUUAGGAAUAUACAGUUCUCUAAUACACAAAUACUCAUAAAUAAAAUUGUCCAUGUCAUUUCAUGUAACUGAA